rnacentral:rRNA from 1 species
GUAGUCUGCAACUCGACUACAUGAAGCUGGAAUCGCUAGUAAUCGCGAAUCAGAAUGUCGCGGUGAAUACGUUCCCGGGUCUUGUACACACCGCCCGUCACACCAUGGGAGUUUGUAACGCCCAAAGUCGGUGGCCUAACCUUUAUGGAGGGAGCCGCCUAAGGCGGGACAGAUGACUGGGGUGAAGUCGUAACAAGGUACC